GUCGAGUGGGAAUUGCAGUAUGAACCAAGGGCUAAGGGCUAGGGCUCCAGAUGGAACGGUCUCCUAGGUCAAGCUGACCUGCCCUUGACUGGAAAGCCGAUUAAAUUGGGAGCUCAACGCAAAGAGAGAAGAGCUCAGAACUGAGAGGAACUUGCCUACAGCCCUCAGAAACAGCAAGAAAGAGAACCCAAGAGGGUUUGCAGAACCUAACGUGUGGCCACUAUAAGAUGAACCCAAGGUGAACUGGAGGCUGGAGUGUGAAGAAAGUUCUUGCUAUCUUUCUCUGGACUUCAGUUAAGCAACCAAGAAAAGCAGCAUGUCCCAUGACUUCAGAUGUUUGGAUCAAUUUUCCAAUUACGUUUUAGUAGAUUAACAUCAUGGCCAUGAGCUCCUCCGAUUACAGUCUUUCUCGAGUAACAUCUGAGGACCAGCUAAUAGCAGCUACUCAGCUACUAAAUACAUAUUGCCUGUGAUGUUCAAGCCUUUGCAGAUAAAAUCAGCAGUCCACAAAGCAAGAACAGCCUGAGCAAACUGCUCAAGCUUUUUAGAGCCACAGGUUACAGAAACUUGCUUUGUCAGCACUGGAAUCAAGCCACUGACUGAGAGAAUGGGAGAUCAACAGAGAGAAGCAAAAAGGUCUGCUAGCAAAGGAGCCAAAUAAGCAUUUGCAAUUUGUUGGAGGCGGACAAAGAACAGAGACCCCAGAGUGCAAAACACCUCCACACAGAUCUCUCGUUGGCUUCAUCCCUGUCUUCAACCAUAUGAGCUCUACUAUGUGUAAGACCAAUGAGGAUUUUUGGUGAACGAUAGAGUUGAAUAAAAUACAAUUACGCUCCUUGUGGACCUGGCAUUCCCUGGAAUGGCUUCAAAAAGGGGGUGCAGUAAAGGCAGUUAUGGCCAAAUUUCUGAGAAGCUUACUGUUGACUCUGCUGGAUUGUCAUGUUUUCAUGGCCAAAGCACUCCCUGGGACACCUGCCCCCAGUCGUCGUGUUUGUUCUCAGUAUCUCCUCACAGCCUAAUCGUAGAGUCAUUGCAAGGUGGGAGUCCUCAGCAUCCUGUUAAGCCUGGACCAGCUGAGCAUGACAGUUGCGUUGUCCUCACCCUCUGGCCACAUCACGCUCCCAAACAGUGGAGAUUUUAGGACAGAAAUGACAUCAUGGAUUUUGUUUACUGUGGCCUAUCUUCAAUGACCUGAGUCAAGACAGUCUGUCGCUUGGACUUGCCGUAGAGUGAAGAAUACUGGCUUUGGAGUGGGAACAACCUGGAGUUCAGUGCUCUGCCACUUGCCAGCAUUGUAACCGUGGUCAGUGACUUACCUUUCUGGAAUUCCCUCUUUCUCCUCUGUAAUAUAGGAGUAAUAGUAACAGGCAACUCAAAGGACUCUUA
rnacentral:lncRNA from 1 species